rnacentral:miRNA from 1 species
GGCAUGGGAUAGUAGGGAAGA